rnacentral:rRNA from 1 species
AUUGAACGCUGGCGGCAGGCCUAACACAUGCAAGUCGAGCGAGCGGCGGACGGGUGAGUAAUGUAUGGGGACUGCCCGAUCGAGGGGGAUAACUACUGGAAACGGUGGCUAAUACCGCAUACUAUCGGCUAACCCAGAUGGGAUUAGCUAGUAGGUGGGGUAAAGGCUCACCUAGGCGACGAUCUCUAGCUGGUCUGAGAGGAUGAUCAGCCACACUGGGACGGAAACACGGCCCAGACUCCAACGGAUGCAGCAGUGGGGAGUAGUGCACAAUGGGCGCAGUCCUGAUGCAGCCAUGCCGCGUGUAUGAAGGAGGCCUUAGGGUUGUAAAGGACUUUCAGCGGGGAGGAGUUACCCGAAGAAGAAGCACCGGCUAACUCCGUGCCAGCAGCCGCGGUAAUAC